rnacentral:rRNA from 1 species
AGGGUUUGAUUAUGGCUCAGGACGAACGCUGGCGGUGCGCCUUAUGCAUGCAAGUCGAGCGAAGCUUUUCAGUAGUUUACUACAGAAAAUGACUGAGCGGCGAACGGGUGAGUAACGCGUGAGCAACCUACCUUAGUUACUGGGAUAGCCCGAGGAAACUCGGAUUAAUACCGGAUAUUCUUAUUUAAUCACAUGAUUUUUUAAGGAAAGGUCAGCCGAACUAAGAUGGGCUCGCGUUCUAUCAGCUAGUUGGUAGGGUAAUGGCCUACCAAGGCUACGACGGAUAGCUGGUCUGAGAGGACGAUCAGCCACACUGGGACUGAGACACGGCCCAGACUCCUACGGGAGGCUGCAGCAGGGAAUAUUGCGCAAUGAGCGAAAGCUUGACGCAGCGACACCGCGUGUGGGAUGACGGAUCUAGGUUUGUAAACCACUUUCAGGAGGGAAGAAAAUGACGGUACCUCCACAAGAAGCCCCGGCCAACUACGUGCCAGCCGCCGCGGUAAUA